UGACAAUUGACGUGACUGAGGUGAAGAGCGACAUGAAUGCAGUAACCAUUUGAACAGUUUGCUACGACAGCGUAUGGAGGAGCGGAAAUAUUGUGGAGAUGUGGAUAUUGACAGCCAGGAAGAAGGAAAGGGCUUUAGGGAAGCGAUAUGGCAGGUCCCAGCUGAGUGUGGGCUUCCCUGAGUCUCCUAAUUUAGGUGACUCCUGUGCACAGUUUAACCCAGGUCCUCAGGAGCCAGUCAGCGGGUGAAGGUUGGGAUCCCAUCCUCAUCGCCAAGAAUGAGACGCAGAUCUGAAAGAAAGAUGAACGAGGCUCAUCCUGACAUGACCCUCCAGCAUGACAAUGCCACCAGCCAUACUGCUCGUUCUGUGCGUG